rnacentral:rRNA from 1 species
UGGGGAAUUUUGGACAAUGGGGGAAACCCUGAUCCAGCCAUCCCGCGUGUGCGAUGAAGGCCUUCGGGUUGUAAAGCACUUUUGGCAGGAAAGAAACGUCAUGGGUUAAUACCCCGUGAAACUGACGGUACCUGCAGAAUAAGCACCGGCUAACUACGUGCCAGCAGCCGCGGUAAUACGUAGGGUGCAAGCGUUAAUCGGAAUUACUGGGCGUAAAGCGUGCGCAGGCGGGUCGGAAAGAAAGAUGUGAAAUCCCAGGGCUCAACUUGGGAACUGCAUUUUUAACUACCGGGCUAGAGUGUGUCAGAGGGGGGUGGAAUUCCGCGUGUAGCAGUGAAAUGCGUAGAUAUGCGGAGGAACACCGAUGGCGAAGGCAGCCUCCUGGGAUAACACUGACGCUCAUGCACGAAAGCGUGGGGAGCAAACAGG